AUCUGGGGGUGGUGCAGUUGGUUGCACUGUUGUCUUGCAGCUAAGACGUCCUGGGUUUGAAUCCCAGCCUGGGGU